UAGAUAAAAUAAUAUUUAUUAAAGAUAUUUAAUAAAAGCAUAUACAACUAUAUAUACUUUUAAGGUUUUUUUUGCAAAUAUUUAUAAGGAUACAUUGGGAUCACAUGGUUGCCUGUUAAAAUACAACACUGUGAACAUUUAUGAUGAUUAAUAGAGUUUAAUAAUGACACACAUACGCACAAUCUUUCAGUAUCAACAUUAUUAGUCAGAUCAGCUCCUACACUAAUAACACAAGGGGCUGUUCUUUUUACAGUCGAGUUGUUUAUAUUUAUUUUUUACUUAGGCUUUCAAUUUAUCUGUAUAACAUGUGGGUUAUUUCAGGUUUUUUUUUUUUUUUCUUCUUUUUAGACUUAUUCCAUGAACAGAAGACAAUGACUCAUGGUUAUUUAGCCUAUACAAGGAACACAUUUUGUUUUACAGUUUAUUUGUUGAAAUUAAAUUGAUCCCAAAUUCAUUAAGUUAUAGCAGACAUUAUCUAAUGGAGAAAGAGUAGGGAUGGUAAUAACUCAUCUCUGGCACAUGGGAUAAGGAAUGACAAAGGAGACAGACUCCCAGUAGAGGCUGGUCCAUUGGAGCAGAUGGGUGAUCCUGACGAUCUGUGUAAUGCUGUCUUCAUCAGUCACCAUGGAUAACGAGUCCCUGGGAACCCUCCACUAAAUUGUACUACUAACCCUUAGUUACAUGCACACUAGGUGAACAGUAAAUUACCAUUUUACUCUCUCUGAUUAAUAAAAAAAAAACCUGGGAAACCCUAUCUCAUUAUUUCAGGUCUCCCCAUCACAGGCAAAUGUUGGAUGACAUUUUUCUCAAUGAUUAUGUUAUUGUUAAUGUUUUGAUUGUAUGCCUGCUGGAAGCUCAGUACUGCCAAGUGGCUUUUUCACUAAUUGGUUAUUCGAGUUGAGACAUCGGAAGAACCCAGUAUGUUGCUGCCUUAAAGUACUACAUCAGUUUAAUUAAACCUUUCACCACCAAAACAAAACUUGAUGAAUGCUGACUUAUACUGGAAACUAUAAUGGCCUCAACUGAAUUAACUUUCCAAAUGAUUUAUAUCCAAAAAGAUCCCAUACACUUUAAUGGUUACUUUCAUAGACAAAUCAAUGGAAAAUUAAGUAACCAUUAAAGUAUAUAGGAAUUUUGUAGAUAAAUAAUUUUGUAUGUUUAUUAAUAAUCUUGAAUGGUGUGGAAACAUAUUGAAUUGAAGCCCAUAUUGGGUAAUUUAUAAGUCCUACCAAACUUAAUGCCAAAUCAAUUUGGAGACUUCUCUCUAAGUCACUUAUUUCACCCAUUAUACAAGUCAAUUGCCAACUUUUUUAAACAGACCCAUAGUAAAAACAAAAAAAUCUUUCGUACUGCAGGACACAUUUGUAAUUUUUUUUUACAUGGAAAUUAAUAGAAACUACUCUUGGGCAAACAGUACAGCUGUGGCUGUCUUCUCACUUCGAUUAUAGCCAUAAUCGCUUUUUUGUUUAUUUGCAAGUGACUUUCAUUUUCAAGGGAAACACUACUACUUAUCUUAUUGAUGUAACAGUGUAACAGGAAUUGGCAUGAAGUAUCCAGACACUUUCUAAGUGUGCCAGAUGCCACAAAAGACAGGUCAGAAUUUGAGCAAAACCUACAGGACAGACACAUGUAAUAGGUAUGUAUUAGAUUUUUUUUUUAAAGGUAUAUUAUCAUUUUUGGAAAAUCUGUUAUUUACAUAAGUACCGAUUAACAUAGGGGCUGAUGGAGCUCCAGCUCCAGGCCCAGGCCCAUGGAAUUUUUUUUUUUUUUUUAACACACUACUCUUAGGUUUGCCACCUGACUGGUAUUUUACUGGCACUGUCGGUAUUUGAGGUUGCAGUAAUACCGGCAAUACAAAUGCAGGUAUUUUUCUCAGAAUAAAUGGAGAUUACUCUGCAAUACCUGCACCUGCCAGUAGGGGUCACUGUGUGUGGAGAGAGGCAGGGAUAGGAAGUUACAGCAUAUCCCUGCCUCUCUCUACUACUUACUGAUCUGUUGGGGAGCAGCAACACAGCACAGAGUCCAGACAGCAGCUCUACAGCUCAGGUAAGUGAGGGAUGGGGACACUGGGGGACACAUGGGGACACUGAGACACUAGGCGACACAUGUGGACACUGAGACACUAGGGGACACAGACACUAGGAGACAUAUGGGGACACUGAGGCACAGACAUUAGGGGACACUGAGACACUAGGACACAUGGGGACACAGACACUGGGAGACCUGGAAACACUGAGACACUUGGGGACACUGGAAAACAUGGGGACACUGAGACACAUGGGGAUGCUGAGACACAUGGGGAUGUUGUGAGACAUUGGGAGACACUGAGACAUUGGGACACGGAGACACUAUGUCCCCAUUUCUCCCAGUGUCCUCAUGUCCCUCAUCCAGUGUUGCUAGUGUCUGUGUCCCUAAGUCUCCCAGUGUCUGUGUCCCUUGUCUCUCAGUGUGCCUAGUGUCCCCAUGUGUCCCAGUGUCCCCAUGUCUAUGUCCACAACUGUCCCCAAGUCUCCCAGUGUCCCCAUGUCUCUGUGUCCCUAGUGCCUUAGUGUCCCCAAAUGUUUCAGUGUCCCUAUGUCUCCCAGUGUCUGUGUUCCUAGUGUCUCAGUGUGCCUAGUGUCCCCAUGUCUCCCAGUGUCCCUAUAUGUCCCAGUGUCCCCAUGUCUAUGCCCACAACUGUCCCCAUGUCUCCCAGUGUCCCUAAGUGUCUGUCUCCCAGCCAGUGUCCCCAUGUCUCCCAGUGUCUGUGUUCCCAUGUCUCUGUGUCCCUAGUGUCUUAGUGUCCCCAAAUGUUUCAGUGUCCCCAUGUCUCCCAGUGUCUGUGUCCCUAGUGUCUGUGUCCCCAUUUCUCCCAGUUUCCCUAAAUGUCUCAGUGUCCCCAUGUCUCCCAGUGUCCCCAUGUCUCAGUGUCCCCGGGUCUCUCAGUGUCCCCAUGUCUCUGUGUCCCCAGUAUCCUAGUGACAUGGGGACACACUGAGACAUUGGGACACUGGGAGAAAUGGGGACACUGGGAGAAAUGGGGACACCGAGACACUGGGAGACAAGGGGACUGGGCGACAUGGGGACACUGACACUGUGAUACAUAGGGACACUGAGACACUGGGUGACUUGCGAGACUGAGACAUUGGGCGCAAUCCAUCUAUACAGCAGAAUCAAACUGUGAGUAGUUUGUUGGUGAUUUUACAGAAUUUUCUCUGAUGUCACUCCUUGUGAUUAUACAAAUGAUUAAGCCUGGUAUUUUUUAACAAGAAAGGUGGCAACCCUAACUACUCUUCACAUACUCUUGCUUAAAGGAGCACUAUAGGGUCAGGAACACAAUUAUGUAUUUCUGACCCUAUUAUGUUAAAACCAACACCCUGGCCCCUUCUUGCCUCCCUAAGUAUAGUAAAAUAUAACUUGUAUUCAAGUCUGCAGCUGCUGGCUCUGCCUCUGAAUUGACUGUCUGCUGACAUCAGAAGUGGUGGUCUGAGCAAAUUACAAUACUUCCCCAUAGGAUUGGCUGAGACUGGCAACUAGGCAGAUCAGAGGCAGAGCCAGCACAAGUCCAACAUAGCCCUGGCCAAUCAACAUCUCCUCAUAAAGAUAACUUGAAUCAAUGUAUCUCUAUGAGGAAAGUUCAGUGUCUGCAUGCAGAGGGUGGAGACACUGAAUGGCAGUGCUGCACACUAGGCAGUACUGCCCCAGGAAGCACCUCUAGCAGCCAUCUAAGGAGUGGCCAGUGGAGUUAUUUUCUCUGAAAAGACAGUGUUUACUGCAAAAGGCCUGAAUGGAAUGAUUCUACUUACCAGAACAAAUACAAUAAGCUGUAGUUGUUCUGGUGACUAUAGUGUCCCUUUAAGUUUGGAAGCUUAAGAGGGAUGUAUGGAAACAAAACUUGUGUGGACUAGCUGACAAUAAAAUUAGUUUAGGUAAUGCAGACACUGGUCUCUCUAACACUGUGGCAUGUCCCCUUUCUUCUACACUCACUACAAACACCUUUUCUCUGUCUCAGACUAUAUACCAGGAACUUCUGCCUGCUAGUAAGAAGGCAAGGAGACAAGUGGACUAGCAAGUGCUAGGGGACAGUCCUUAGAAAGCACGGAGUGAACGCAUCAUUAGAUGCAUUUAUGUCAAGCUCAUGGUGCUGCCUGCAUAGUAUGCCCUUAGUUGGACAGCCUGCAGGAUUGGCGGGCAGCCUGACAUGCAUUCAUGCCAGGCUGUCCUUCAAAUUCUUUGGACAGACAUGCCCCCUUUUUGGGCAUGUUCUCCCCUUUUGGCAGGUCUGGUCACGUGAUUCGCACCAGUGGCCCACCCUUUUA